rnacentral:rRNA from 1 species
UACGUAGGGGGCAAGCGUUGUCCGGAUUCAUUGGGCGUAAAGAGCUCGUAGGCGGCUUGGCAAGUCGGGUGUGAAACCUCCAGGCUCAACCUGGAGACGCCACCCGAUACUGCCAUGGCUAGAGUCCGGUAGGGGACCACGGAAUUCCUGGUGUAGCGGUGAAAUGCGCAGAUAUCAGGAGGAACACCGGUGGCGAAGGCGGUGGUCUGGGCCGGCACUGACGCUCAUGCACGAAAGCGUGGGGAGCAAACAGG